GUGCUCUUGGCGGCGCUGUGUGACCGGGACGGGGCGCGCUGGGGAGGCCGGGCCGAGGUGAGGCUCGCUGCCCGACACUCACGCACGGCUCCACUGAGGCUACAAGAACGUGAAAAAGCCUACUGGCCUGAGCAAGGAGGUACCCAGAGACCUGCUACCCUGUUCCAUGAAUCUGCUCUGCUUCUCCCAGACAGAUCUCCAGGCACACCUCCCCUACCCUCCCUCCAGCGCCUCUGCUAGGAGAUAUGCCUGCAGCCAUUCACCACCUCAUCCACACAAGAAAUGAAAACUUACAAUAAAUCACAUUGGAGUAAAGACAAAACCCAGGCUGGAUUAUGAAAUAUAUUCAAUUUUGCUUCUGAUUUUUUAAAGAACUAAAAAGCAAAGAUGAUUCUGUCUUCAGAACCCUGGCCCUGAUUAUCAACAUGUUAGUGAGACUAGAUAACAGGGCUGAGGGCUGGGCCACACACAGGGCUGGAUGCCCCUGGGGGAAGGACACCUGGACCUUGGAUUGGCCAGGUGGAGGGUGCCCAGAAGGGUCAAAGGCUCCCAAAGCAAUGAUAUGGAACUAAAUCACCGUAGGUGAUCCCAGGCCCUGGCCUCUCAGGCACACCCCACAUGGGGAUCUUUUUGGCCCAAGACUAGACCAGGACUAGGGACUGGACUGCUAGUGGAGACUGACCAAUGACAAAGCCCCUCAGGAGUGCUGGCAAGAAACUGGUCUGGGGUGAAUCGGGGGUUGGUCACAUUCUCUAAGCCAUCCCUGCCUGUGUCCCAGGAGGCAGCCUUGGUCAGUGGCACCCAAGCACUGGAAAGCCAUGAAAUAGUUAAGAGAUUUUAUUCUAAUAGCUAUAAUUACAGUGCUUGUUUGUCGAAAUGAAAACUGAAAACAAGUAUACAAAACAGUUGAUUACUAAU